AGAAUUCGCUGACAAUUCGACAAUGACGCACAGUGCCGGAGACGUACGUGCCGCGACGUCUAUUUUUUUCGUUCGUUUCUCGCCCUUCGCUCGGUGCCCCUGCAAUUUCGCUUUCGCCCAACGCCGCAAGGACGAGAACCACCAACCAGUCGAAUUAUGGAUAGCCUGUACCCGAAUCUGUACGAGAGAUUCAAAAGCGAGGGCGUCUGUCCGAUUUGCCUGAUGGAAAUGGAACUAGCCCCGAGAUACACUUGCAACAACCAGCACACAAUUUGCUAUCGGUGCAAACCUUAUUAUUACGACUGUCCCACUUGUCACUCGCCAUUAGACAUGGAAAUGUCAUCUGCAUACUCGCCCUCGUCACCGCCACCGGCCAGCCACUUUCUGCCUCAUCCACUUCGGCCGAAAUUCUGUCCUACCGCACCGGCGGCCGAUGAUUUUCAAAAACACGAGAGAGGCUGGUAUCCACCUCCGCCAGCUGAAGGUCAGGAGCUCAAGGAGUGUACGUACGCUCAUCUAGGAUGCUGGGUGAAGGUACCGAUAUACUUGGCGGAUCUGCACGAGUCUCGAUGCCAAUUUCGUCCUCACUUAGAAGAGGAAUACCUGCCGACAGACGUGGCUCUCAAACACGACGAUUUGAUCGAGUGCAGGUACCGAGUGGUGGGUUGCAACGUGAAAACUUCACCGUGGAGGAUCACGAUCCACGAGAGCCAUUGCAUCUACAAGGAUCGUUUCGACGAGAUGAACAUCAGCGACUCCAUGGAACAGGCGACCAUCUCCGGCAACGAUUACGGAGAUCCCGAGGAAUUAGUGGAGUGUAAAUAUAGGAAAUACGGUUGCAUGGUGAACAUGCCCAGAAGACGGAAGCAGAUGCACCAAGCGAAAUGCAACUACAGCAAGUAUCACACCGACGAGGACGACGACGAUGGUUCGUCGUCGGAGGGCGAUUACGAUCCCGACGAACAGGUCGCUUGCAAAUGGGCCGAGUACGGCUGCAAAGUGAGACCGAAACGCAGCCGUUCAGAGACGCACGAGGAAAAAUGCAAUUACAGAAUGGAGGAGUGCGCUUACAAGCACAACGGAUGCACCGCCAUGCUUCAACCGCCUAGGAAAUUCGCUCACGAAAGAAGCUGCGAGUUUGCUUAUUAAAUUUCCUUUAGCCGGUGAACCGAGUAUCCCCUAACCGAGAGAAAUAAUUGUAAGAUUGUUUCUUAUAGUUGGGUCUCUUAAUAAAUGUUCCCUGAAUUCUUACUUAGGACGCAAUUUUAAUCACGAGAAGACGUACAAGGAUUCGAAUCAACAUCGUCGGGGCAUCGAUUCGUAUCUAACUGUACAUUGUUCCACAAGAUAGUUCAAGCAUGUUGAAUACCGCACUAUUAAUUACGUUACCAUCAAUUAGGUUAACUUAGAGGAAGAGCAUUUAAUCUAGGCGAAAAUCGUUCAAUAUAUAUAUUCUACUCUAUAAAUAUAUAUAUUAAU